GUUCAGUCUGUUAUUCCUGGCCUCACCUCUGAUGAGUGCAAAGCUCUUUCUGCUUCAAAAGUCCAAUCUGCAGAAUACAAAUGCCACUGCUGUUGAUGUUUCCUCUGCUUAUCACAUAGUUGGUUCCUGGCUCAAGCACAGGACUCACAUUCGAGGAGGAUUGGCAUGACUAAACUUAGAGAUGGUCUAUACCUCAUGAACUUAUCUGCCCCUGCUGUUUGCAAAGCAAAAGCGAUUUGCCUUAUACACUUGGAACCAGUAUAAAGCUUCACAUAAUUUUGAGUAAUUACAUUUAGACAUUUGGG